GGACGCCCAGGCCGGUCCCGGAUGUUGCGGGCAGUAUGAGGCGAGCGCAGGGGGACAGGGACCAGCAGCUGUCGCCGCCGUUCUCAGGGUGAAGAAAGACCAGAAAUCUUUGCCCCCUGACUUUGGAGACCCAGUUUAACCUUCAAACUGGCGAUGUCAAGGGUUCCAAGUCCUCCACCUCCGGCAGAAAUGUCGAGUGGUCCUGUUGCUGAGAGCUGGUGCUAUACACAGAUCAAGGUAGUGAAGUUCUCCUACAUGUGGACCAUCAAUAACUUUAGUUUUUGCCGGGAGGAAAUGGGUGAAGUCAUAAAAAGUUCAACUUUUUCAUCAGGAGCCAAUGAUAAGCUGAAAUGGUGUUUGCGAGUAAACCCGAAGGGGCUGGAUGAGGAAAGCAAAG
rnacentral:lncRNA from 1 species